CUAGGAACAGUGGGUUAACUGGUCUAGGAACAGUGGGUUAACUGGUCUAGGAACAGUGGGUUAACUGGUCUAGGAACAGUGGGUUAACUGGUCUAGGAACAGUGGGUUAACUGGUCUAGGGACAGUGGGUUAACUGGUCUAGGGACAGUGGGUUAACUGGUCUAGGAACAGUGGGUUAACUGCCUGUUCAGGGGCAGAACGACAGAUUUGUAUCUUGUCAUCCCGGGGAUUUUAACUUUCGGUUACUAGUCCAAUGCGAAAUCAGUGGAGGAUAGCCGAAGGAAGUGAUGGAUUACUGUAUUCGGAUUUAAUUUCUAGAACAAAAGUUGAACUCAAAAUGGAUAUCUCGUUUUUAUCCAUAUUGCAGUGGCUGCUGUUUAAUUUUCAGUUAUGUCCAAGAGGAAAAACUGUGAUUUCCCAACAACACAAACAGUUGGUGUCCAAUACUUACAGAAACACACAAUAACGCCGAAAAAGUACCAACAGCAGCUUUUUCCUUUCCUGAAUAUGACUUGAAAACAUUGAAAGAAAAACAAUUAAAAGUGAAUGAUACAUGUACAUUCAUGUGCGGUACACAAAUAUGUAUUUACACCUUAAAACAAAAUCAAAAUAGACAUGUUUAGAAACAUGUGAUCCUUCUCGUUAUACGUUCACAUAUUAGAGGAUUUGAAUCAAAGCGUAUCAAAAUCCUAGGCAUUGAACAAAGAAACAGUCAAUGCUGACUACUGUAAAGUACAGAUGAAAAACAACUAAUAUAUUUCAGUUCCAUCUCUCUCAUUACGAAACAAUGAAGUCAUUUGAACACAAGUUCUGUCAUUCUCCCAUCUCAUCUCUCUGCAUGUGAACUAUUUAGUUAUUAUCCUGAAUGUAAUAAUUGACUAACGUGGAAAUAAAUCAAGAAAUGCUCUCUUAAAACCGUAUAUUUGAAACAGGCGAUUGUUUAACUGGUAUUGGGAUGGCAUAUACUAUUACUGGGCUGUGCUUUACUGUUUUUCCCUAAGAUGUUGUUGUUAUAAGAAAAACGCUGUACUACUGUAGUUCUUCUGUUUUUGCAGCUGUAUUAAUCAUAGGUCUGUUACUAUCUUCAGUGCAAUAUUCUCGCGCUCUCUCUCUCUCUCUUUAAAUCUAAAAUGCAAAAAACUAGAACUACCACAGAUUCAUUGUAAAAGGGAAACAGCCUGGUGAUGACAAAUAAAAAUACAUUUAUUGAAAUCAGA
ensembl:lncRNA